rnacentral:rRNA from 1 species
AGAGUUUGAUUCUGGCUCAGAUUGAACGCUGGCGGCGUGCUUAACACAUGCAAGUCGAACGUGAAAGUCCUUCGGGGCGAGUAAAGUGGCGCACGGGUGAGUAACGCGUGGAUAAUCUACCCUUAAGAUGGGGAUAACGGCUGGAAACGGUCGCUAAUACCGAAUACGCUCCCGAUUUUAUCAUUGGGGGGAAAGAUGGCCUCUGCUUGCAAGCUAUCGCUUAAGGAUGAGUCCGCGUCCCAUUAGCUAGUUGGCGGGGUAACAGCCCACCAAGGCAACGAUGGGUAGCCGGUCUGAGAGGAUGACCGGCCACACUGGAACUGGAACACGGUCCAGACUCCUACGGGAGGCAGCAGUGGGGAAUAUUGCGCAAUGGGCGAAAGCCUGACGCAGCGACGCCGCGUGAGGGAUGAAGGUUCUCGGAUCGUAAACCUCUGUCAGGGGGGAAGAAACCCCCUCGUGUGAAUAAUGCGAGGGCUUGACGGUACCCCCAAAGGAAGCACCGGCUAACUCCGUGCCAGCAGCCGCGGUAAUACGGAGGGUGCAAGCGUUAAUCGGAAUCACUGGGCGUAAAGCGCACGUAGGCGGCUUGGUAAGUCAGGGGUGAAAUCCCACAGCCCAACUGUGGAACUGCCUUUGAUACUGCCAGGCUUGAGUACCGGAGAGGGUGGCGGAAUUCCAGGUGUAGGAGUGAAAUCCGUAGAUAUCUGGAGGAACACCGGUGGCGAAGGCGGCCACCUGGACGGUAACUGACGCUGAGGUGCGAAAGCGUGGGUAGCAAACAGGAUUAGAUACCCUGGUAGUCCACGCUGUAAACGAUGAUUACUAGGUGUGGGGGGACUGACCCCUUCCGUGCCGGAGUUAACACAAUAAGUAAUCCACCUGGGGAGUACGACCGCAAGGUUGAAACUCAA